CCUACGGGUGGCUGCAGUUUCGAAUCAUUCACAAUGGGCGAAAGCCUGAUGGUGCGACGCCGCGUGAGGGAUGAAGGUCUUCGGAUUGUAAACCUCUGUCACUGGGGAGAAAACGCUUUGAGUUAAUAGUUCAAAGCCUGAUUUAACCCGGAGAGGAAGCAGUGGCUAACUCUGUGCCAGCAGCCGCGGUAAUACAGAGGCUGCAAGCGUUCGUAAAGUUCGCGGAGGGGAAAGUGUGCGUCAGAGGUGAAAUCCCGAGGCUUAACCUCGGAACUGCGGCUGAAACUACUCGACUAGAGUACUGGAGAGGGAGACGGAAUUCACGGUGUAGCAGUGAAAUGCGUAGAUAUCGUGAGGAACACCAGAGGCGAAGGCGGUUUCCUGGACAGUUACUGACGCUCAGGCACGAAAGCAUGGGGAGCAAAAGGGAUUAGAUACCCCAGUAGUC
rnacentral:rRNA from 1 species